rnacentral:rRNA from 1 species
AUGAAGCAGGAGGGCUCUAUCUUCAACACCGCCGUCUCCCCUCAUUACCACGCCAUUGCAUCCACGGACCAUCGCUGCACGGCUCCGUACAAGCGCGGCAGCCGGGGCCGUUGCAUCUUCGACGUCAAGUACCAGUACCACGGCUCAAGCGCGCAGGGCUUCCUUAGCACCGACAACUUCGUCUUCGACGGCAGCGGCCCCGGCAGCCCCAUCAGCAGUGUGGACGGCCUUGUCUUCGGCUGCGCGCACUCCACGCACCAGUUCGGCAACCACGGCGUCUGGGCCGGCGUAAUGAGCCUCGACAGGCACCCGACCUCCUUGAUCCGGCAGCUCUCGGACCGCGGCCUCACCGCCUCGCGCUUCUCCUACUGCCUCGUCGGCAAGGAGCACGAGCACCUCCACCGGCGUGGCUUCCUCCGGUUCGGCGCCGACAUCCCGGACCAAUCGCACGCACGGAGCACGGCGCUGCUGCACCGGGAACUCGCCCAAGGAGGGGGCAUGUACUACGUCCACCUCGUCGGCAUCAGCCUGGGCGGGCGAAGGCUCACGGCGAUCACGCCGGCGAUGUUCGAACGCGACCCGCGCACCCUCCGCGGCGGGUGCACCAUCGACGUUGGGACGGCGUACACCGUGCUGGCCCCGGCCGCGUACCAUGUCCUGGCGGCCGAGGUCGUGGCGCACAUGCAGAGCCGCGGGGUGCACUGCGCGCCCGGGCCGGUGCAGAAUUUCGAGCUCUGCUUCCGCGGGGCAUGUGACAGUAUCCGCGCGCACUUCCCGAGCGUGACGCUCCACUUCUACCCGGAAUCGGCCGCGCUCUUUAUCAAGCCGGAGCUGCUGUUCAUGGCAGUGACGCAUCAGCAUACCCACUACGCGUGUUUCACCGUCGCGUCGUACGCUGAGAGGUCAGUGAUAGGCGCGGGGCAUAUGUUGGACACGCGCUUCACGUUUGACCUCCAACACGACCGGCUCUUCUUUGCUCCCGAGGAUUGCCAUCUAGACACUAGCGCAGUGGGGAUGACCUAA